rnacentral:misc_RNA from 1 species
UGUAAUCCUGCUACUUUUUAAAGCGGUGAAAUUGAAGGAGAAGGCAACUAAGAAAAAUUUUCCUCAAUAAGUAUAUUGUUGUUUCUUAUCAGAAAAGAGGGAAUUUAUAGAACCAAAAAUAAGCCAAGAAAUAGUUUAGUUGACUAUGCAAGAGAAGAAUGGCUGUUAUGCUAACUUGCAUAUCAAUUACAAUGUGGGGUCAGUUCCUCAUUGCUUUUGCAAAUGAAAUAUGUUGGAACAUUGCCAAAAAUAUGAUUUAUGUGUAUAUGUUAAGGAUGUUCUGCCUUUUUGCCUGGUCAUGACUGUUUUAAG